rfam:Gossypium raimondii Chr05_contig_920, whole genome shotgun sequence.
UGUUAAAAAUUUAUUUAUUUCUACAGUUAAAAAUUGAUAUAAUUGACAAAAUAACCAGACAAUUAUAAAUGACGUGUCACAUAUAUCUCAUUCUGUUGUACAGAGAUUAAUUUUUAAUAAUAAAAGUAAAUAAAUAUUUUAACA